rnacentral:misc_RNA from 1 species
GAUGAAGAACGCAGCGAAAUGCGAUAAGUAAUGCGAAUUGCAGAAUUCAGUGAAUCAUCGAAUCUUUGAACGCACAUUGCGCACGCUAGUAUUCUGGCGGGCAUGCCUGUCUGAGCGUCAUUUCAACCCUCGCCCCCGGCUUUUGCUGGGAGCGGUGUUGGGGAUCGGCCGCCCGUCACUGGGAGGCCGGCCCCGAAAUAGAGUGGCGACCACGCCGUGUGCUCCUCUGCGUAGUAGUAAAUCACCUCGCAGGCGGACAGCGGUGCGGCCUGCCGUAAAACCCCCAACUCUUUCUGGUUGACCUCAGAUCAGGUAGGAAUACCCGCUGAACUUAAGCAUAUCAAUAAGCGGAGGA